rnacentral:rRNA from 1 species
UACGGGGGGGGCAAGCGUUGUUCGGAAUUACUGGGCGUAAAGGGCUCGUAGGCGGCCAACUAAGUCAGACGUGAAAUCCCUCGGCUUAACCGGGGAACUGCAUCUGAUACUGGAUGGCUUGAGUUCGGGAGAGGGAUGUGGAAUUCCAGGUGUAGCGGUGAAAUUCGUAGAUAUGGGGAGGAACACCGGUGGCGAAGGCGGCCAUCUGGACGGUGACUGACGCUGAGACGCGAAAGCGUGGGGAGCAAACAGG